UGGUGAGAAAAGUCAAAGAUUGUAAAUCAAAUUAAAAAUGAAUAACGCCUGGAACAACAUGCCCAAUUUAGGCAUGGGGAUCGGUAUAGGGAUGGGUCAAGGUUAAGGGAUGGGUCCAGGUAUGGGGAUGGGGCCAGGUAUGGAUGGGAUGACAGCAACGCAGACAGGUAUGGGGGGAUGGUGAUGAGGUCUGGGAAGGCGAAGGAAGCUAUUAUUGCCGAAAAAGAAGACUGGCACGGGCAAGGAGAAGAGCAGCUCGGUUGGAGCGAUCUGUUCCUUUAAAACAGUACGACCUAAACAAAAAUAUGAAUAUUUGAAACGUCACUGUAAGUGCCAGGUGGGAUGGUUCAUCCACGGGUUUAAUAAAUCCACAUUAUCCACCGGAGUUUGAUAAUAUUAAAGCAACGGUGGAAAUAAGCUUUCCUCCAACAUAGCUACAUUGGCACUAUAUAAAAUUAAUUCAAAUGAGUCAGAAACAAUGACGCUGACAAUUAAAAGAGAUGCGGAAAGUCCGAUUCGAGUAUGCCACCCAUAUCACAGAUUUUGAUGAGAACGAUGUUUCUUUUAUAACACGCGUAGUGGGUGUAUUUUCUUUAUUAAUCGUUCAGUUAGUUUCUGAAGCUUCAAUCGAGGAAGCUGAUGCGAAGCCACGGCCGGCAGCAGGCGUCGACGUGGACGAGCUCGAUGCCGAUGUGAAGGCCGAGAACGAGAACUCAAAGUUCAACGACCUAUCCUACUUGAUUAUGUGGGAGUAUUGGAAGCAGCAGUUGCACGCUUCCGUUCGAUCAGUCGAACACAUCACAAAAACAAAAGGAAAAAAUCAGAAAAAUUGCAGAAAAAUUCAAUAAAAUUCAGAAAUAAAAAAACCAAACCAAAUUUAAAUUUGGAUUUUUGUUAUCUAGUGCGUUGUUAACCAAGUUCAAAGAAUUGAAUUCCUGCUAGUAUGGCAGAACUAAUGAACCGAAGGAGUAAGGCCCCCCCCCAUAAUAUAUGUGGUACAACGCAAACUACCUAUGCCAAGUAAAAUGAGGAAGUUCUGCGAUAACCUCAUGGGAAUUGAUAAUUAUGUAUUAAAAUAUCAGGAUGACGGCACAGUCAAAAUUGUGUGUCCAACCAGAGCCUCUUACAAAAAAUCGUAUUAUGCAUUAAUGAUGAUGAGACAUAUCCAGUCAUCUCCUCCAGUGAGUCAGAGAGCGAGCGAGUAAGUACCGCUCAGUCAUUAAAUUCCAAUAUAACUGCUGUCGAGGAAAUACUCAAGAACCAAGGCAAAAGGCCUGCAGCUCCACUCAGCCCUUUGUCCAACACCGCCAAAAAAAUUGUUAAAUUCCCUCAAGCAAAGCCAUCUUAAUCUGCAAUGGAUUUAUCAACUGAUGAUGAGCUGUGCGGAGUUCCAACACGAGUGCGAGUGCCAGCAGCGACCAUACCAAAUGCUGCCGGCCCUUCACGUGUUACUCCCACAGCACAAGCAGCCCACAAGUACCACCUACUAUUGAAUCCCGACCCACCAAACCACCGCCAUUAGUUCUUCAUAAAGUGAGCAACAUUGCUGCCACUUUAAAGGAAAUAUCCCAACUAAUUCCCAUGGAUAAAUUCUACACGAAGACAACUCCUGCUGGUGGACUCCGUAUCAUGUGCAUUGAUGUGAACUCCUACAGAACCUUGCAGAGCCACUUCAGGAUCGGUGAAUGCACCACCCCAUCUUAUACGUAUCAUAAUCAGGGAUCUCCACCAUACCACGGAUAAAGAUUAUAUCAUUGUAAUGCUGGCCAGCUAUGGACAUGAAGCCACAUUCGUUCACUGCAUGACUUGUCACGGAACCCAAGAACCCUUCAACAUGUUCAAUGUGCAAUUGAAGCCUAAGCCAAAAUCCUCCAGUUCGAAAGCAUGUGGCACGCGGAUCUCAAAAUUUCAACUGUCAAAGAAAUCUACAAUGGACUCUGCAAUAACUACUUCACCCGAUUAAUGCAGCACUCAAAUCUACUUGAGUAAAAUGAUCUUACAAAAAAUUCAACCAUUUUUUAAAAAAGUGCAAUGUCAAGCUCCAGCUUCAGUUGCUACUAUAGCUCUAGCCCUGCUGAGGGUUUAUUUUAUUGAAGUUUAAAUUAACUUUUAAGUAAUUUAGUUUAAGCAAGAAGAGCGUUGCAGAGGUUUAAGUACGCUACGAGAAGAUUCGUUGCGGAGGUUCAAUUACGCUCCGAGAAGAUUCGUUGCGGAGGUUCAAUAACGCUCCGAGAAGUCUGGUUGCGGAGGUUGAAGCACGAUUCGAGGCGUAUACAGCUGUUGGCUGCAACCGCCGAUGGCGGGCCGAUUAUGGCUUUCUCGUAUCUGCUUUAUAUACAAAUAUAUAUUUACUUUAUAUAUAUAUACGACUAAGCUAACCAUAAAAACACAUCAAAAUAUGGGAUAAUUGAAUUUUUAAUUAAAGUAAUGACAU